UAAGGAAUAUUGGUCAAUGGAGGCAACUCUGAACCAGCCAUGCCGCGUGCAGGAAGAAGGCCCUAUGGGUCGUAAACUGCUUUUUGAACAAGAGAAAACCCCGGUACGUGUACUGGGUUGAUAGUAUUGUUAGAAUAAGCAUCGGCUAACUUCGUGCCAGCAGCCGCGGUAAGACGAAGGAUGCAAGCGUUAUCCGGAUUCAUUGGGUUUAAAGGGUGCGUAGGCGGACUGAUAAGUCAGUGGUGAAAUCUCUCGGCUUAACCGAGAAACUGCCAUUGAUACUGUUAGUCUAGAGUACAGAUGAUGUGGGCGGAAUAUGACAUGUAGUGGUGAAAUACUUAGAUAUGUCAUAGAACACCGAUUGCGAAGGCAGCUCACAAAACUGUAAACUGACGCUGAGGCACGAAAGUGCGGGGAUCAAACAGGAUUAGAUACCCUUGUAGUCCCUGAGCGGGCUGGCAAGGCGCAU
rnacentral:rRNA from 1 species